rnacentral:rRNA from 1 species
GUACGGGGGGGGCAAGCGUUGUUCGGAAUUACUGGGCGUAAAGGCUCGUAGGUGGCCAACUAAGUCAGACGUGAAAUCCCUCGGCUUAACCGGGGAACUGCGUCUGAUACUGGAUGGCUUGAGAUUGGGAGAGGGAUGCGGAAUUCCAGGUGUAGCGGUGAAAUGCGUAGAUAUCGGAAGGAACAUCAGUGGCGAAAGCGGCUUCCUGGACCAGAACUGACGAUCAGGCUCGAAAGCGUGGGAGC